AUGAAAAUUUAUUUAUCUCUUUCAUUACUCCCACAAUAAUAGGACCACCUAGUAUCCUCAUCAUUUCACUCCCAUUCUAUUCCCUGCUCCCAAUUGCCUAAUUAGUAAUCGACUAAUCUCUAUACAAUGAUUAGUGUAACUUGUAUUAAAGCAAGUGAUAACAUUCCAUAAUAUAAAACAACAAACUUGAUUUCUAAUAUUAAUCUCCUUUAUCCUAUUUUCAUUGGCUCAACAAAUUUAUUCGGAUCAUUAAGUCAUUCAUCUACACCAAUCACCCCAUUAUCAAUAUAUCUAGGUAUGGUUAUCCCACUAUGAGCAGGAACAGUAACUACUGGUUUCCACCACAAAACAAAAGCAACACUGGCCCACUUCCUACCACAAGGAAAACCCAUUCCACUUAUCCCUCUACUAGUAAUUAUUGAGACUUUUUACUCAACCCAUAGUGGCUGCAGCUCUACCACUAACAGCCAGUAUUACAGCUGUCCAUUCAUGCAUUUAAUUGGUGGAGCCACAUUAGCACAGUUGA
rnacentral:lncRNA from 10 species